GAUGAACGCUGGCGGCGUGCCUAAUACAUGCAAGUCGAGCGAACAGAUGAGAACCUUCCUCCUCGGACGUUAGCGGCGGACGGGUGAGUAACACAUGGAUACCCUACCUAUGAGACUGAGAUAACUUCGGGACACCGGCUCUAAUACCGGAAUAUUUAUUGAACCGCAUGAUUCACUAGAGAAAUGCGGUUUUGCCGUUACUAAUAGGUGCUUCCGCGCCGUAUUAGCUAGUUGGUAAGGUAACGGCUUACCAAGGCGACGAUGCGUAGCCGACCUGAGAGGGUGAUCGGCCACACUGGAACUGAGACACGGCCCAGACUCCUACGGGAGGCAGCAGUAGGGAAUCUUCGGCAAUGGGCGAAAGCCUGACGGAGCAACGCCGCGUGAGUGAAGAAGGUCUUCGGAUCGUAAAGCUCUGUUAUUAGGGAAGAACAAGUGUGUAAGUGAAAAGUCAAGUCUGUGAGGUACCUUAACAGAAAGGCAAGGGCAAACUAGUG
rnacentral:rRNA from 1 species